UGGGGAAUUUUGGACAAUGGGCGAAAGCCUGAUCCAGCAAUGCCGCGUGUGUGAAGAAGGCCUUCGGGUUGUAAAGCACUUUUGUCCGGAAAGAAAUCCUUGGCUCUAAUACAGUCGGGGGAUGACGGUACCGGAAGAAUAAGCACCGGCUAACUACGUGCCAGCAGCCGCGGUAAUACGUAGGGUGCAAGCGUUAAUCGGAAUUACUGGGCGUAAAGCGUGCGCAGGCGGUUUGCUAAGACCGAUGUGAAAUCCCCGGGCUCAACCUGGGAACUGCAUUGGUGACUGGCAGGCUAGAGUAUGGCAGAGGGGGGUAGAAUUGCCACGUGUAGCAGUGAAAGUGCGUAGAGAUGUGGAGGAAUACCGAUGGCGAAGGCAGCCCCCUGGGCCAAU
rnacentral:rRNA from 1 species